CGAAAAGUAAAGUGAAGGGAUGGUUUUGUAUAGAAGGGAAAUAUGCAACUAUAGGCCAUUAGGAAGAUGCAUCCAGUAAAUGUAAUGAAGAUUAAUGUUAUCUUUAACCCAACUAAGUAUUUUUUAUAUGGAAGUACUUUCGCAGAAAUAUACCUCAGAAAUUUUCCUUGCUAAAAUUGUGUUCUGUAGUCCAUACUCUGCUGGUUUUUUUUUUUUUGUAUUUUUUCUGAAAGUCAUGCAGCCAAACAGAUCUUUGCUGGCAUAUUGAAGACUCACGGAGAGAAGCGAGGAGCAGGAAGGAUAAGAUGGGAAAAAUUAUGAGAUGAGGAACUGCAGACUGAUGGAAGAGCUGACCUGCUUUUGGGUUGGAUAUUAGGAAAAACUUAUUAUCCAAAAGAGUGGUGAUGCAUUGGCACAGGCUGCCCAGGGAGGUGGUAGAGUCACCGUCCCUGGAGGUGUUGAAGAACUGUGGAGAUGUGGCAAGGAAUGAGGAGGAGCUGGUGGCACAAUAGUCAAAUGAAAACCAAC
rnacentral:lncRNA from 1 species